UGCGCCAUGCCGCGUGUGUGAAGAAGGCCUUCGGGUUGUAAAGCACUUUCAGUCGUGAGGAAGGUAGUGUAGUUAAUAGCUGCAUUAUUUGACGUUAGCGACAGAAGAAGCACCGGCUAACUCCGUGCCAGCAGCCGCGGUAAUACGGAGGGUGCGAGCGUUAAUCGGAAUUACUGGGCGUAAAGCGCAUGCAGGUGGUUUGUUAAGUCAGAUGUGAAAGCCCGGGGCUCAACCUCGGAAUAGCAUUUGAAACUGGCAGACUAGAGUACUGUAGAGGGGGGUAGAAUUUCAGGUGUAGCGGUGAAAUGCGUAGAGAUCUGAAGGAAUACCGGUGGCGAAGGCGGCCCCCUGGACAGAUACUGACACUCAGAUGCGAAAGCGUGGGGAGCAAACAGGAUUAGAUACCCUGGUAGUCCACGCCGUAAACGAUGUCUACUUGGAGGUUGUGGCCUUGAGCCGUGGCUUUCGGAGCUAACGCGUUAAGUAGACCGCCUGGGGAGUACGGUCGCAAGAUUAAAACUCAAAUGAAUUGACGGGGGCCCGCACAAGCGGUGGAGCAUGUGGUUUAAUUCGAUGCAACGCGAAGAACCUUACCUACUCUUGACAUCCAGAGAACUUUCCAGAGAUGGAUUGGUGCCUUCGGGAACUCUGAGACAGGUGCUGCAUGGCUGUCGUCAGCUCGUGUUGUGAAAUGUUGGGUUAAGUCCCGCAACGAGCGCAACCCUUAUCCUUGUUUGCCAGCGAGUAAUGUCGGGAACUCCAGGGAGACUGCCGGUGAUAAACCGGAGGAAGGUGGGGACGACGUCAAGUCAUCAUGGCCCUUACGAGUAGGGCUACACACGUGCUACAAUGGCGCAUACAGAGGGCAGCAAGCUAGCGAUAGUGAGCGAAUCCCAAAAAGUGCGUCGUAGUCCGGAUUGGAGUCUGCAACUCGACUCCAUGAAGUCGGAAUCGCUAGUAAUCGUGGAUCAGAAUGCCACGGUGAAUACGUUCCCGGGCCUUGUACACACCGCCCGUCACACCAUGGGAGUGGGCUGCAAAAGAAGUAGGUAGUUUAACCUUCGGGAGGACGCUUACCACUUUGGGGUCAUGACUGGUGACG
rnacentral:rRNA from 1 species